rnacentral:rRNA from 1 species
AUGCCGAGCGGUGCAGACAGGCCGUGUCAAGACGUUCCGGUGUGCCGACAUGCGCUCCACCAUCAAUGGCACGUGCGGCCCACGUUGCAAAAAAAAACUAACCGGUUCAACUCAUAUCACAAGACUUGUUCCGCCAAUAAUAAAAGCUCACAUAAUAUGAGCAUUGUCAUCGUGUUUAUGCGUACAUGUGGCCUCACAAUGCAUGUACUAUUGUCGGCCGUCGUCGUCUUCGUCGUUAUUGUUUCUAUCUGUCUCUUCGAGACUAAGUUGUUGUUUCUCGCCGAUCAGGUGCUCGUUCUAUCUUCCGUGAAUAAACACCUGUGUUAA